rfam:Desulfovibrio sp. S3730MH75 k99_2741793, whole genome shotgun sequence.
AGAAAACCUAUCACUUCGCCGAAGAAAGCAGGUGUUCUUUGAAAAGAGCUUAAUUCCCUGCCCAGACGAAGACUGAACGAAAGUUCGCUAAAAGUCUUUGCCUGUGGAUGUCGAUAGGCAAAGACUUUUAUAUGAAAGG